CCUGUCAGCUGAUGGGAUCACACGUGGUUUGAACAUGGAGGAGACAGACAGGAUUGUUUGUCUGUCAACACGUGUGAUCCUCGCACUCUCAGGUGAACUGAGGUGCAGACAGUCAUCGAUGCAAAUGGACAUCUAGUGUCCUCCUUCAGCAGCAGAUGUCUGCCCUGAGGUUCCAUGUGUUCGACCAGGUUCCAUGUGUUCGACCAGGUUCCAUGUGGGUUGGUGGGUCGAGCGAGGACAUGUUGAAUCCCACUGAUAUCCACGAUGACGGAGUUGAUAGCUGAAAUCUUCCUGGCCCGUACGGCUGCCAUGUCGAUGGAACUGGACUGCCGGUCGGCAGAGAGCCUGUGGAUAUCUUCCAUGAGGUGAGUCUUUCUUACGUUCCAUGUCGCUGCUGAUGUCCCCGUCCACAUCGGUGCUUUGCUGCCGAGCCAUCUGCUGUGUGACCCCCACCACCCCGUCAGAGAUUCCCUCUGUCCCUCAUGGCGUCCUGUAUCUGUCUGUUGAGCUCGGCGAUGAUCCGGUCUUCGUGGGUGUAGACGCCGGUCCUCAGCAGAGUGUCUCUCUCCUCCAGCAGGCGGCUCAGGUGAUCGUCGGCGCUCUCGUUCAGGUUGUGAGCGGGGGCGGGGCCACUCAGGGAGGAGGCGGGGCCUAACCGCUCGUCCUGCUGCUUUAAUCUGUCAAACAAAAUAUAAAAAACCCUUUACUUACUGGUACAGUACAUACAUGUUCUACUACACUGAUUCCACUUGAUUAAUGACUGUUCACAUCACACUAUAUAUAUAUUAACUUGUCUACCACAGCUUUUUAUUUUAUAUAUAUUUUAUUCCUAUAUUUUAGCAGCUGCACUCUUAUGUUUUAUAUUCUAAUAAGUAAUAAAAAAUGCACAUAUGUAUGAGCUUUGUUGGAGAGAGCGACUGCUUCACUGUCAUACUUUUCAUGACAAUAAAGAACUUUAAACCUCACUGA